UACAGAGGUCUCGAGCGUUGUUCGGAUUCAUUGGGCGUAAAGGGCGCGUAGGCGGCGGGGUAAGUCUGGUGUGAAAUCUCGGAGCUCAACUCCGAAAUUGCACUGGAUACUGCUCUGCUAGAGGGCUGGAGAGGAGAUCGGAAUUCACGGUGUAGCAGUGAAAUGCGUAGAUAUCGUGAGGAAGACCAGUGGCGAAAGGCGGAUCUCUGGACAGCUCCUGACGCUGAGGCGCGAAGGCUAGGGGGAGCAAACGGG
rnacentral:rRNA from 1 species